rnacentral:rRNA from 1 species
CAAUGGGCGCAAGCCUGAACGAGCGAUGCCGCGUGAGCGAUGAAGGCCUUCGGGUUGUAAAGCUCAAAAGGGGUGAGAAAGGGCAACUUGAUCGAACCCCAGUAAGCUCGGGCUAAGUUCGUGCCAGCAGCCGCGGUAAGACGAACCGAGCGAACGUUGUUCGGAAUCACUGGGCUUAAAGGGCGCGUAGGCGGGUGCUCAAGUCCGGGGUGAAAUCCCACAGCUCAACUGUGGAACUGCCUCGGAUACUGGGUGUCUCGAGGGUGGUAGGGGUAUGCGGAACUAUCGGUGGAGCGGUGAAAUGCGUUGAUAUCGAUAGGAACUCCGGUGGCGAAGGCGGCAUACUGGACCACUUCUGACGCUGAGGCGCGAAAGCCAGGGGAGCAAACGGGAUUAGAUACCCCGGUAGUCCUGGCCCUAAACGAUGGGAACUAGCUAGUAGGCUUCACAUGGGUUUACUGGCGAAGCAAAAGUGCUAAGUUCCCCGCCUGGGGAGUAUGGUCGCAAGGCUG